rnacentral:rRNA from 1 species
GACGAACGCUGGCGGCGUGCUUAACACAUGCAAGUCGAACGGAAAGGCCCUGCUUUUGUGGGGUGCUCGAGUGGCGAACGGGUGAGUAACACGUGAGUAACCUGCCCUUGACUUUGGGAUAACUUCAGGAAACUGGGGCUAAUACCGGAUAUGAGCUCCUGCUGCAUGGUGGGGGUUGGAAAGUUUCGGCGGUUGGGGAUGGACUCGCGGCUUAUCAGCUUGUUGGUGGAGUAGUGGCUUACCAAGGCUUUGACGGGUAGCCGGCCUGAGAGGGUGACCGGCCACAUUGGGACUGAGAUACGGCCCAGACUCCUACGGGAGGCAGCAGUGGGGAAUAUUGCACAAUGGGCGGAAGUCUGAUGCAGCAACGCCGCGUGCGGGAUGACGGCCUUCGGGUUGUAAACCGCUUUCGCCUGUGACGAAGCGUGAGUGACGGUAAUGGGUAAAGAAGCACCGGCUAACUACGUG